GGGGCAGCAGCACGGCUGUAUUUCGGCUGGGCAGGAUCCACCUGCCCUACACCACCCACCCACCCACGGAGCCGGACAACACCCACACCCCCGGGACCGGCGCAGCCCCCUGGAAAACGGGGGCAAGAAUAAGAGCAGCAGUGGGGAGCGGUGGGGCCGGCUCAGCCGAAGGGGCCCUUGGCGUUCUUGGGCUGGAAGAGUGGCUGCUCCAUGGGCAGGGCGCCCAUGCACUCUGCUGGGCUGCAGUGCCCCGUUUUGCCCGGUGGCCCCGUGGCACCCGGGGGACCGGGGAUGCCGGGGAUGCCCUGCUGCCCCACGGGACCUGGAGGGCCCAUCUUCCCAUAGCCUGGUGGUCCUUGGGGACCUGGGGGCCCUGGUGGGCCGCUGUCCCCCAUCAGCCCCAUCCCCUUCUCCCCUUUCUCUCCUUUGGCACCCGGCUCCCCCCGCAUGCCUGGCACGCCCUGCCGUCCCUCUCUGCCAAUCUGCCCUGGCAUCCCUGGGGAUCCUGGGGGUCCCGGCCGGCCGGGCAGCCCAUCCUUGCCCGGGGGACCCGGUCUGCCUGGGGCCGCCACCAUCUCCACCGGGAAGUGCAUCCGUGAGGUGUAGUAUGCCAUGCGCUCAUCAAACAUCUUGCUUAUCUC
rnacentral:lncRNA from 1 species